GAGUUUGAUCCUGGCUCAGGAUGAACGCUGGCGGCGUGCCUAACACAUGCAAGUCGAGCGAUCUUCUUCGGAAGAGAGCGGCGGACGGGUGAGUAACGCGUGGGUAACCUGCCUCAUACACAUGGAUAACAUACCGAAAGGUAUGCUAAUACAAGAUGAUAUAAGGGAUUCGCAUGGAUUUCUUAUCAAAGCUCCGGCGGUAUGAGAUGGACCCGCGUCUGAUUAGCUAGUUGGUAAGGUAACGGCUUACCAAGGCGACGAUCAGUAGCCGACCUGAGAGGGUGAUCGGCCACAUUGGAACUGAGACACGGUCCAAACUCCUACGGGAGGCAGCAGUGGGGAAUAUUGCACAAUGGGCGAAAGCCUGAUGCAGCAACGCCGCGUGAGCGAUGAAGGCCUUCGGGUCGUAAAGCUCUGUCCUCAAGGAAGAUAAUGACGGUACUUGAGGAGGAAGCCCCGGCUAACUACGUG
rnacentral:rRNA from 1 species